UGAAAAAAAAAAUUGCUGUAUUUCUCUUUUGUUUGAAUGUUACUAAAUCCUGCAUUCUGUGUAGGAAAUAUUAAAAUACCAAGAUUUUAUUAUCAACCAAGGAGAUAAUCCCAGUGGAGGAGGAAGGACUGUGGUCCUCUUUGUUUCCUAAGUGUCUCUAGAGGUGCUUCCAUAUGGAGCAGAAUUUCAGUGGUUCCACAGUGUAGAGGUUAGCAGUAAUAACACAGAUUCCUGUAUUGUAUCUUCCAACCCUCUCUGGAGGACCGAGAUAUCCUGGAAUGCCUCUGUGCCUGUAGACUCGUACAUUUAGGCAACAGAACCAGUCUUAUUUACCAAUAUAAUUUCCUAAUGAGGUUUUGUGGAAUGAGGAACUAGAAAUCAUCAGAAUGUAUGAAUUGUGUUUAUGAUGUGUUUCUCUUCUGUCUUGUUUUAAACAUCCCUAUCAAUGUUUUUCUAUUGAAGAAAUCUGUUUAAUCACAGGAUCAUCCCAGGCCUAUUGUGUAUUUCAAAAGGACAUCCCCCUGAACAGAAAAUAUUUAUACCUUUCAUGCCUUUGAUUUUCUUCAAAUUCUGUCAUAACUGAUAAAAUUUCACAUGUUCUCUAAUUAAAAAAUAGUCAUGUGAGGAACUCAGCCUCCUCUUUACAUCCAUUCUCAGCUAGUCUAGACUGCAGCAUUGAGAGGAGAAACUGAAGAAUUAGGGGGAAAUGCAGUCAAACCACUGGUCACGUCCAGUGUUUCUGAUGCAAAAGUAGCAAAUUUCAAACUAAGUUUGGGUUGGGAGGAACCACUCUGUGUGUGCAUUCAGAGUGUUAACUUGGCUGAUGGAGGGAAAUCAGGGAUAUGGGCUGAGUGGAUGUGAUUGUGAGCAGAGGGAGAGGCAAUACCUCAGGACCUGUAGGAUGAGAAAGGAAGGGAGGUAAGUAAACAUGUGUGAAAUUCAUGGGAAAAGUAUUUGAUCUUUCGGAGGUCCAGAUUAUUGGAUUUGUGUAUGGAAACUUAUGGAAAAUACAAGUAAUGCUGAAUCUUUAGAUUUUUUUGGUGCAAAUGUGGAACCAGGCCACUGCUUUGAAAUGAAGCAGACUUCAAGGAUAAAUGUUUUCCAGAUCCUAUAUCUAUUACUUCAAGGAUAAAUGCUUUCCAGAUCCUAAAUAUCUCAUCAGACUCUUUCUGCAUAUAUCUGGUGUGCACAGGAAAGCUAUAUUCAGUUGGUCUACAAGUACCUCAGGGCCCACCCAAAUUUUACAAAUAAGAGAUAUGUAUUCUACCUGUCCGGUGGAUGGAGGCAGCACAGCUGUGAGACACAGGAACACCACUGACAGAAUCAUCUCUGAAAAGGGCCAGGAGUAGGACUUUGAUGAUCCUUGUGGGUCCCAUCCAACUCAGGUUAUUCUACAAAUAUCUGAUUCUAAUUGAAGAAUAAUACACCAGACCCUGGACUCCAAGACUCCACUUGCCUGGGAGGCUCAAACACCACUCCAGCAACCAAGGAGGUCACUGCAAAGUUCAGGAAGACUUCCUUUUCCUAGGAAGAAAUAGAGGUGCUCACACUGGAGGAGGUAGACAUUUACACUAAGAAAGCUGCAUCGUUUGAGGAGGGACUGAAUUUCCAACUGGACAAGGAAAGCAGGUGGGAUAAGGAGACUGGAUCUUCUUUGCAGAGACUUCAGUGUGAGCAGCCUUAAAUGUGGCCUGGUUAGAAAGGGAAAAUUACUGAGCAGAAGAAAAUGUCUGCUGGAAAAUACUGGCAGAGAUAUUCCCAGCCAGCCUGGCAGCUGUGAGCCUGGGAACAAAACUUUCAUACUGCAAACAUCCCCGACAGCUACAUCUGGCCUCCUUAAAGAACAGCUGGGGUUCCCAGAAGCCAGAGACAUCCUGAGAUACCAUCGAUAAGCACAAGAAAUUGUAACAGCCAUUUAUCAGCUGAAAAAGUAGAAACAGUUUGGGGACAUGAUCAUGGUCUGAAAGAACCAAAAUUAUCAUCAUCUAUUGGCUGGUUCAGGUGAAAAAUUGAAAUAAAAAACAUCUAUUGGCUGCUU